rnacentral:rRNA from 1 species
GACGAACGCUGGCGGCGUGCUUUAGGCAUGCAAGUCGAACGCGAAAGCCCCUUCGGGGGUGAGUAGAGUGGCGAACGGGUGAGUAACACGUGGGUAACCUGCCCCUCGCAGGGGGAUAACCGGGGGAAAUCCCGGCUAAUACCCCGUACGCUUGCUGGGGCGCAUGCUCCGGCAAGGAAAGGUAGCUUCGGCCAUCCGGCGAGGGAGGGGCCCGCGGCCCAUUAGCUAGUUGGUGGGGUAACGGCCCACCAAGGCGACGAUGGGUAGCUGGCCUGAGAGGGUGGUCAGCCACACUGGGACUGAGACACGGCCCAGACUCCUACGGGAGGCAGCAGCCAGGAAUCUUGCGCAAUGGGCGAAAGCCUGACGCAGCAACGCCGCGUGGGCGAUGAAGGCCUUCGGGUCGUAAAGCCCUGUUGUCGGGGACGAAGGGCGAAGGGUUAAUAGCCCCUAGCCUGACGGUACCCGACGAGGAAGCCCCGGCUAACUACGUG